GUUCUAAAAUAAAACACUAAGGGUUUUAAAGGAAGCUUUGAAGCUCCAACCUCCAACUCUUCACGGAAUCACCAAAGGAAACUUUGCAAAACUGUUUUGAGACGAUGUUGAUGAUGCAUGGAACAUAGUAGGAUGCUUAUAUACACAUUUAAAAUUUUGUAUUCUUAUUGUAUUGUCAUUCUUGUAUUUCAAGUUGUUGUAUUUGAUUCCAACCUUUGUAAUUGACUUUUAGAAAUGAAAUGAAAUCCAUUAUUUAA